rnacentral:rRNA from 1 species
CCCUAUGAAGCUUUACCUUAAUNGAAGCUUUCAGGCUUUUAUACGGUUUUGAUGGGAGAUCAGUGAAAAUAAGUCCUUUGCUAU